CCUACGGGAGGCAGCAGUGAGGAAUAUUGGUCAAUGGACGAGAGUCUGAACCAGCCAAGUAGCGUGAGGGAUGACUGCCCUAUGGUUUGUAAACUUCUUUUAUAUGGGAGUAAAACAGGGUAUGCAUACCCUCUUGUAUGUACCAUAUGAAUAAGGAUCGGCUAACUCCGUGCCAGCAGCCGCGGUAAUUCGGGGGAUACGAGGCUUAUCCGGAUUUGUUGGGGUUAAAGGGAGCGUAGGUGGAUUGUUAAGUCAGUUGUGAAAGUUUGCGGAUCAACCGUAAAAUUGCAGUUGAAACUGGCAGUCUUGAGUACAGUAGAGGUGGGCGGAAUGCGUGGUGUAGCGGUGAAAUGCUUAGAUAGCACGAAGAACUCCGAUUGCGAAGGCAGCAUACU
rnacentral:rRNA from 1 species